rnacentral:misc_RNA from 1 species
AAGGAUCAUUACCGGGUAUUGUAGGUUGGUUCGCCAGCAUACUACCUUCACCCUUUACAAAUCCGUCCACCUUCGUUGGCGUAUGAGCGUGAGUAUAUCUCCGCUUGCCAGCAAUACUUAAACCCUGCCAAACCUUUGCAGUCUGAGUAAAAUGUUAAUAAAAAAAAACUUUCAACAACGGAUCUCUUGGUUCUG